rnacentral:tRNA from 1 species
AUUAAAGUAGUUUAAAAUAAAACAUUAAUUUGUGACAUUAAAAAUAUUAGAUCUUAACCUAAUCUAUAAUCC